rnacentral:rRNA from 1 species
GCCCAGCCAUAAACCUUGAUGAUAAAUUACAAAUAUCAUCCGCCAGGGAACUACAAGCGCACCGCUCGAAACCCAACGGACUUGGCGGUGCCCCACACCCACCUAGAGGAGCCUGUUCUAUAACUGACAAUCCCCGUUCAACCUCACCACCCCUAGCCCCUUCAGUCUAUAUACCACCGUCGUAAGCUAACCCUGUGAAGGACAAACAGUAAGCAAGAUGGGCACAACCCAGAACGUCAGGUCGAGGUGUAGCAUAUGGAGUGGGAAGAAAUGGGCUACAUUUUCUGAACACAGAACACCAACGAACAACGUCAUGAAACUGCCGUUCAAAGGAGGAUUUAGCAGUAAAAAGAAAACAGAGAGUUCUUUUGAAGCCGGCCCUGGGGCGCGC